UGGAUUAACGAGAUUCCCA
rnacentral:snRNA from 1 species